rnacentral:rRNA from 1 species
AUUGCAGUUCGAGCGGAUGAAGAGGAAGCUUGCUCUUCGAUUUAGCGGCGGACGGGUGAGUAAUGCCUAGGAAUCUGCCUGGUAGUGGGGGACAACGUUUCGAAAGGAACGCUAAUACCGCAUACGUCCUACGGGAGAAAGCAGGGGACCUUCGGGCCUUGCGCUAUCAGAUGAGCCUAGGUCGGAUUAGCUAGUUGGUGGGGUAAUGGCUCACCAAGGCGACGAUCCGUAACUGGUCUGAGAGGAUGAUCAGUCACACUGGAACUGAGACACGGUCCAGACUCAUACGGGAGGCAGCAGUGGGGAAUAUUGGACAAUGGGCGAAAGCCUGAUCCAGCCAUGCCGCGUGUGUGAAGAAGGUCUUCGGAUUGUAAAGCACUUUAAGUUGGGAGGAAGGGCAUUAACCUAAUACGUUAGUGUUUUGACGUUACCGACAGAAUAAGCACCGGCUAACUCUGUGCCAGCAGCCGCGGUAAUACAGAGGGUGCAAGCGUUAAUCGGAAUUACUGGGCGUAAAGCGCGCGUAGGUGGUUUGUUAAGUUGGAUGUGAAAGCCCCGGGCUCAACCUGGGAACUGCAUCCAAAACUGGCAAGCUAGAGUACGGUAGAGGGUGGUGGAAUUUCCUG